GCCGUUUUGCAUCAGUGUCACUCUGCCCAAUUCAGAUUUCAAAAAAUAAAAUAAAAAUAUAUAUGUCAUUUAAAAAAAAAUCUCUAAUUCACAAAGUCUAAUUUUGCACCCAAGACCUAUCCCGGAUAAGAUAGAUACCAAAAGUUCUAGAUGGCCAUUUCUACAUAAACAGAGACAGAAAUUACCACGUUUGAUCAGAUAAUGAAUUGAAAUAUAAGUCAACUUAAUUUAGAUCAAAAUUUGAAUCCAUUGACAAAG
rnacentral:misc_RNA from 1 species